GGGCACCCUCGUUUCCACACCUGUAUUGCAUGAGCUUUAUAAGUGGGGGCCAGCGUCGCUGAGCCUCAGCACCCCUAGGACCGAGUGAGUCGGAAACUGCAAGGGUCCAAGAGGUUCAACAACUGAGCUGAGAUGGGACCGCCUUUGACAAGCGGCAGAGUCAAUCAAUGUCCACAGUUUUCAUGCUCUGAACAGAAAGACAGAAUUCUGUGCAAACCAGAAAGUGGUCCGCGUCUUCCCGAGCCCGCUGGUCUCUGUGCGCUUUCCUCCCCAGGCGGACGCUGCCCAGGGUGCUCUGCAGACAGGGCCAUGAGGGGCAAGGGUGGCGGUGGAGGCUGCAGGCCAGGGCGGCAA